UUGGAUAAGGUUAUUCCUUUUAUUGCUCAGUAUUUCAUUGUACAGAUAUACCACCAUUCAUGUAUACACAUUUUUUAUUUUUACAUAUGCUAUAAAUACACAUUCUAAAGGGUGGCCCAUGAGCCAAGAACGACUUUAAAACAAUUUUAAAUGAUUUGGGGGAAAAAGUCAAAAGACUUAACUUGUAGCACAUAAACAUUACAUGAAACUCAAAUCUCAGAGUCCACAGUUUUAUUGAAACACAGCCAUGCACAUCGACCUAUUGUCUAAGACUCAUUUCAUGCCACAGCGUUAGAGUGCUUACAAGAGGACACGCAAAACCUAAAAUAUUUACCUGCUCCUUUAUAGGCUUGCUGACCUCUUUAGACUUAAGGCAAUUCAAAAUUUUGAAAUUUUGCUUUCAUUUAUUCCAUUUCCGGCACUCUUUAUUUCAUGGUAGGCUCGCUCCCAUUUCUGUCUGGUUUCAUAUUCCUUCUGCCUGAAGAACUUCAGUAUUUCUUGUAGAAACAGAUCUUCUGGCAAUGUAUUCCUCCAGUUCUUUUUUAGUUAGAAAAGGCUUUAUUUGUCCUUUAUUUUCAAGGAUAUUUUCACUGGGUGUGGGACUCUGGGCUGAUAGGUUUUCUUCUUUCAGCACUGGUCACUCCAUUGUCUCCUGUCUUGCAUCAUUUGGUAAUUUUUGGCUUCCCCGGUAUAUUGUAUGUUAUUUUCCCUCUGGGCUGGAUGGCCUCUAAGAUUCUAUGUUUUAGCAUUUUUGAUAUGCUUAGUGUGUGUAUAGAUUUGUUUGGUGUUCUCUGAACUUCUUGGAUCUGUGGCUUGGCGUCUGUCCUUAAUACUGGAAAAUUCCCAACCUUUAUUUCUUCAAGUAUUUCCUUGCUUAUAUGAAUUCAUUUGGCCUCUUGUGCUCCAACAACCCACCGUGAGAAGAGCAUACCCUGGGUAGCUGAAUCCAGUUUAGAUCAGCUGAACUAUAGUUGUAGUUGACCUAGAGAUCCGUGUGAAGAGUUAGUGUUUUUGGUGAAAGGAACAGAGAGCAAAAGAGAGAAAGAAAAAGUUUAUAAUGACUGGCUAGAAACCUGGACAGAGAUUCUUGGCAGUGCAGCUAUGGAAAGGCAGUCCAGGAAGAACUGGGCCGGGAGACAUGGGGUCUGAUCCCAGGUGCGGGCCGUGGUAGCUCAAACUUGCUCAGGCUGAGCCUCUUUCCUAACCAGCUCCAGCAGCCCUACCUCUGGGAAGGCUUCCUUGACUGUUCUCUCUGCCCCAAGUGCUCAGGAUUCCUUUCUGCAGAUUGAGUUUUUCUGACAUUUAUCUUAACCUCACCUCCCAGAGGCGACUACAGCUAGUUUUUUAUUUUCUUCCAAUCUUUUUCUUAGGGGCAGUCUGUUUCAGUUUCUACCUUGAAAGGCCCUGAGGCUGUCUCCUAUCUCCCUCGGGGCAUUCAAACCCUACCCCCUAGCCUCUGUGGCCCAUCUGUCUCCAUGCCUGGGGUCUUGGGGGUCACUGUGACUUCCAAUAUCCACUUACCUUCAGAAUGAAUGGUCUUCCCUUCUGCCACCUGGGAAUUUCCAUUUCUUUCUUUGAAAUUGGCUAUGUACUUGAAAGUAAAGUGUUAUUUUAAAAUGUCAGCAUCUUCAUGUAUUUAGAACAAGAGGCAGGUGGUUAUCUGAGUUAGCUGGGUCUACUAUGUUGAUUGGCAAUGUGAUUUUUCCUGGAAACAUUUUCUUUUGAGUACAGGUGCCCCGUUUGCACAGUUUUGUUUCCCACUUUUCUGUUUGACAAGAACACAUUUCCCCUUGGGCUUAUGUCUCAUCUCUUUCAAUCUCCACUGUUUAGCACAGGGCCAGGUUCAUGAACACCAACUAAUGUUUGCUGAAGGGCCUCUCAUAUAAACACAUGACGUCUGGAAAGACCAGUCAAUCAGGUGAAUGUAUAAAGGACACUGGGCUGAGGGGGACGGAAGAAAGUAUUUAUCAGAGUGUGGAGAGCUGUGGGUAUGUAAGCUUCUUCGUAGGAAAUUCACCGUGAGGUUCCCAGAACCGUUCAUACAGAAAGAAGCAAGGUCCUCCCUUUCUGGGGACGUCUACAAAUCUGUAGCUGAGACUGACUCACAGGGUGAGACCAGGAAAUCAUUUACCAGCUGCUGCUGCUUUUCCUUUUUCUCAUUAGAGAAGGCAAGAAAACUCCGUCAAAGCGGGUGAUGCAAGAAUGAAGUUGACUCAGAAAUACCCAAUCCCCUCAGGAACUUCUCCAAGAAAUGGAUUGGCCAUUUUAUAAACUCCCAUCUGGAGACAUUAUAGCGAGACCACGAAGAAUCCCUGGUGAUUAUCAUGGCCACAGGGAGGCAAAUCCACACUGAAAUUUGCUAUACUGCAAGAUUAUUUAGCUUUCAGAAGAUUAAUUAAAAAUUCAAAGACGACAGAAUGAUAGUCUUAGAGGGAAAUGAGUGAGAUGGGGUGGGCGCAGACAAAGUAAUGCUGGCCUACAUGCUAAUUAGAAAUGACUUACAUUGUUAAAAAUCUGUCACAUUUAAUGCAUGGAUUUUUUUUUAAUGUUUAUUUUAUUUUGAGAGAGCGAGCGAGUGAGCAUGAACAGGGGAGGGGUAGAGAGAGAGGGAGACACAGAAUCCGAAGCAGGCUCCAGGCUCUGAGCUGUCAGCACAGAGCCCGACGUGGGGCCCGAACCCACAAGCCAUGAGAUCACGACCUGAGCUGAAGUCUGACACUUAACCGACUGAGCCACCCAGGCGCCCUGGAUUUUUUUUUUUUUUUUUUUUUUUUCUUAAAGAAGACACUUUACAAUCAUCUACUGUGAAACUGUAGGGAUGAAUGCACAAAUCUAUGGCCUCCCUAUACAUGUGACAUUGUCUUUCUGCAUAUGAAUCUGCACAACUGUACAAUUCAGAGUGGAAGGGAGCAUUGAGUCCGCCUGCAGCGUGUGCCAGGCACUUUCCAAGCACUGACUGUUGAGUCUGAACCACCACCCUAUGAAGCAGGUAUUUAGACCUCAAUUUUACAGAUGCAGAAAACGUUAGGACUUCUGGGGCAGAGGGGAAGAGAGGAGGAUAUGAUCAGGAAAUAAAGGGCAAAGCGGGCUUCAUCUGUAUUGGUAAUGCAGACCUAACCUGAACAGUAGGCUCACGGGUGUGUUAUAGCUUCUUUGUAACUGGCAGAGGUCCAAAGUGUUAUACGGUAAUUUAAAUCACUUGUGAAGAUUCAGAGAGAUUAACUAACUGACCCCAAACCAUACACCCAGACAGAACUCUGUUUAGAACCAGGACACUUAAGUUCUACUAGGUUAUUUCUGACAUUUAGCACAGCAUCAUAGUAAGGUAUAAAAUCUAGAAAGUACUUGAAUAUGUGAAGAUUGAUUCCAGAACCAGACUAUCUUGUGACACCCACUAUACAUCUAUUUUACCCAGAGAACAGCCUGAAUUUCCUAUUACUAUAUACAAUGGUGGAAAGCAGGACUCUCUUAGCAUCCAAGUCUACUAAAUUGGUAAGGAUCACUGCUUAGUCUUCAGCCACUUACGAUUUCACCAAGGCCUCAUUAAAUAAACAUUUUCUUGUCACGUUAGUUCAGUCUGGCCUGUGGCUUAUAAUUACAGCUGCAAACUUAAGAGCAAGAUUCUUCUGAUCUGAGAUAAUUUAUGCAGUAGUACUUUCAUUACUUACCGUGUGUGCGCGUGCACACACGUGUGGUGGAAUGUGUGCGUGUGUGUGGGAAGGUGGAAGUGGGAGCCGAGGAUGGAAUUACCAUUUACUGAGCAUCUAUUAUGAGCCUGGUAUGGUGCUAAGCAUUUUCCUUGUGCUACUCUAUUCAAUCCUCUUCAAUCCUCAGGGAUAUUGGCAUACUUUCUGAAAAGUUUUUAUGAGGAUGCACAGAUUAGUAAGACCUACAAGGUCAGCAGGAGUUUACGUGUAGGCCGAGAGAGACAACAAUACGAUCAACGUUCAGGUGUAACCAGGCAGAAGGGCAAGGGGAUGGUUAUGGCAGUGGGGGAAGCAGGCUGAGGGCAGUUGAGAUAGGGUGGAACAUCUGCUCAGAUCAAGGUUUUUAGACACAUGUUUUUUGAGGAGGGAACCGGGGACUUCUUUACUUCAAAGUCUUCUGGUUACUCACUUUUUCCUUAAGCAGGAAAAGGCCCCGGGGAGACAGUCUCUCUAACAAGCAUGUCACCAGGGACCAUCAGCCACAGUCCCUAUCGCUUUGGCACAAGGCCCCAAGACUGCAAGUUGCCUCCAGGGCUAAGGUAUCUCCAAGGCCGACCUUCCACAGGGCUUACUGCCAUUCACUCAACACCGAUCUUUUCUGCUAAUGAACAAGCUGUCUCCAUGGACCUUUUUAUUUAAAACAUCGACUCAAACCUUCUAAAAUCAGUGAUAGAGCUGAAAAGGAACUCUGAAGACACCUCACCCAACCUCACCCUGACUGAACACACAGAGGUCCUGGGAGGUCCCAAGGAUGGACAGUACUGUGAAUCACUUGCAAAGUCAGGACCAAGGACCAAUCCUCCAUACCAGGGGGCCAGGGAAACUAGGUUUAUCAAGGGCGUAACAGGUGCCAGAUAUGACAUUUACUCUCAUUCAAUCCCAAGGCAGCAGUGGCCCCAUUUCAUAGAUGAUGAAACAGAUUCAGAAGUUAAGUAACUUGCCAAGUGGCCAAGUAUGUGACAAGGGCAAGAAUGAAACCAGUCCUGUUUAGCAACAACAUCACGCCCUCUUUACUGAAUCUUGAUGUCAAAAACUUCCAGACUUCAGUGCUCCUCAACCAAUCUUAAUCCAUCCCAUUUCACAUCUCCAUCAACCCAGUAUUAAAUUCAAAACACACGAGACCUAAGCCAUCUAACACAGACGGUGUCGGUUUUUGAGAAGCAUAUUGCUCAGGCUGCAGGGACAUUUCAUGUUUAAAUGUUUUUAUUUAAAAAAAAAAUUAAAGACCUUCAUGGCACAACUUCUUCCCAGCACAGUUAUGUUUUAGUUAUACCAAUUACAAUACAAUUACAACCAAUAAAUCAAGGGGACGAGGGGGAGCUUCUGACUUCAAACUUAAAAAAAAAAAAAAAAAAAAAAAAAAAGAGGGGGGCACUUCAAACAAAGUUAAAAAUUACUUAAAAAACCUUUCAGAGUAAUUGCCAACACAACUGUCUUAUACUGGCAUUGCGUUUCCUGCCAUCUAGUCACUGCAGACACAGGCAGCGCUGAGAAAUAAAGUGUCCCAGUACAAGGUAUACAGAUGAGGUAAUUUACAACAACACAGAAGUUGUUACUCUGUAAACCCUUGCCCCCCACCCACCCGCCCAACUGGGUCUUCUUUUUUUUCAUGCUUCUGCAGUGACUCCUUAAGUAGCAUUUUAAAAACUUCUAUUUAUUUUAAAAGGCUCUUGGGUGGCAUUUCAGAGUCCUCUGCAUUCACCUUCCGUCUCUUGCAAGGCCUGAUGCGUGUUAGGAGGUCCAGCUGUCUGCAGCUCCCCACAUCAGCCUCAGCCACAACUAGAUUCUCUGAGCUACAAGGGUGGGAUGUGAAGUCUCGAUUUACAACCCUCCUCCCCACCUCAAAAGAAAGAAUUCAUUAGUCGUAAGUGUCCUGUUCAAAUCACAAUCCAGUGCAAACGUAAUCACAAAUUGCAUCUCUGGCACAUCCGGUGCUUUUAGCUUCUGCACAAAUUCCACAUGGUAACCCCCACAGCAUUCUAGGGCAUAAAAGGGUCAAGAACAAUAAAUAUCCACUGUAAGUGGCCACAAGAAAGAAAAUCACCCUGCCACACUGUCAGAAUGUUUUCCCUAUGGUUGAGAAGCAUUAUAAAAGGAGGCUUUAGCUUCCUCUAAAGUUUACCAUUAUAUUCACGAAAGCCACCACCUUGAUAAAGUUACUAGAGCCAAGAUGGGUUAUAAAGUUAGAUAAGUUCAUUAAAUUCAACUCCUGAAACAAUUAUGUUUGUCUAUGGCGCCCAGGCGAGAAAGGCUUAUGAUCUAUAAAGGUAGGAGAAAGGGGAACUAAGACUUUAGGCCUUAAAAUAUGUUGGAAGAAUUUUUCCUAGUUCCCACAAGCAGCUACUGUAAUGAAAGAGUAGGAGAAAAUACAGAGCUGAUGGUUUUGCUAUUGUGCUUAAAAAACUAGGCUUCCUCAGUGAAGCACCUGAUAAACUUAGGUGGUUGGAUUACAGUGGAAAAUCCACUUUACACACACACAAACACACAAAAACUGGCGACUUUUCCAUCCCCAAUCCCUGCACUGCUGAGACACAAAAUGAGUUUUAUGGCAAAGGAUCCUUAAUCCCCAGAGACGCUUUGGCUUGUGGUGCUUUUUUAAGGCCUCUCUGCCCUGCCCGGUACCAUGGGUCAAAUGAGGGGUGUAUAAAAAUGGGGGCCUUGGGAAGCCUCCACGGUACAGGGCUGCAGGCCCCUCAGAUGUGAACGUGAGACACCCACCCAGCGAGACCUUUACACAGGGAACUUAAAUCUAACCUUGAUAAAUAAAACCAAACGUUUAUUUACACCAAAGAAUUCCAACACUGGAUCUUUCACAUGUGAAGGACAAAGUAUUAUAUAUAUACACACAGCAAGGGGUGGCAGGGCUGUAACAAGAGAGUUUAUAGUUUUCCCACAAUUACAGGUCUACCAUUUCAGUUUCACUGGAGAUAGUGGCUCUGCUCCUACCUCUCAGAUACAUUUACAAGACUGAGGGGCAGGUCUUCUCACUGGAUGGCAUGUGAAGGAAGGGGAAGAAAGGAAGAAAAGAAGGCAGGAAGCUUAAAAUGAAACUCCGUGUGGCCACAUCUUCCAUUAGCUCUGAAAGAGUUGCUAGCAUGAAACCUAUAUAGACAAUGUUUGUUUCUUUUGCAAAAAGCAAUAAGUUAAGCCCAGUAACUAACUGAAUUCAAAAUGGCCAAGUCAAAGAAAACUGGAAAAGAUUUUGCCUCCCCCUCCCACCAGCUACAGAGCAUGUGGGGAGAUGAAGGCGGAGAGGACCAAGGUAAGGAGACUGGGAGGGAAGGUAUUAACAUUUUAAACUAAACUGAAACUAGAAGUCUAAGUGAGUUGGAUUUAGGGCUCGGUUAAUAAGACAUGAUUCAGAUUGAAGUUUUCAGGACCUGUCUGCACUUUGGGUAGGUGAUAUUCAGCAUCUCAAUGAAACUAAGACAUAUUUCCACUAGAUUCACCAUGACAACCCCACUGAAGCACUUGGAGUAAAGUGAUAAAAGUGACCAGCAGCACAACGCUCUUGUAGGUUGGGUCCUCCCUUCCUUCUUCCUUCCCACCUCCCUUGAAGAAGCUACAUUUUUAUAAUCUCUGGAGAAGAGCAUGAGAUAUAAAUCCCCCAAAGUGUGGGAUGGUGGGGGAGCAAUGAUGGACAUGGGAAGAGAUCUCCACCCAAAUGCAGCAGCCGGGAUUGAGGCUGGUUCAUCUUUGUUCUUUAGUGAUGAGAAAUUAAAUUUAAAAGGGGGGAAAAAUUUUGUCCGUGAAAUAUUCCACCUGCAGGUAAUUUUUCAGGGAAUCCCCUGAGUUAUGAAAAGUUCGAGUUAAAAAAAAAAGAAAAGGAAAAAAAAAAAAGGAAAAAAAAAGAAAA